GUUGUAUAGUCAAGUAAUUAAGUGCAUGUGGUGGAUGCCUUGGCAGUCAGAGGCGAUGAAAGACGUGAUAGCCUGCGAAAAGCUCCGGGGAGGCGGCAAAUAUCCUUUGAUCCGGAGAUGUCUGAAUGGGGGAACCCACCUACUUUAAGGUAGGUAUUGCAACAUGAAUACAUAGUGUUGCAAGGCGAACGAGGGGAAGUGAAACAUCUCAGUACCCUUAGGAAAAGAAAUCAAUUGAGAUUCCCUCAGUAGCGGCGAGCGAACGGGGAUCAGCCCAUUAAGUUAUGUGUGUUUUAGUGGAACGCUCUGGGAAGUGCGAACGUAGAGGGUGAUAUUCCCGUACACGAAAGGGCACACAUAAUGAUGACGAGUAGGGCGAGGCACGUGAAACCUUGUCUGAAUAUGGGGGGACCAUCCUCCAAGGCUAAAUACUCCUGACUGACCGAUAGUGAACCAGUACCGUGAGGGAAAGGCGAAAAGAACCCCUGUGAGGGGAGUGAAAUAGAUCCUGAAACCGCAUGCAUACAAGCAGUGGGAGCACCUUCGUGGUGUGACUGCGUACCUUUUGUAUAAUGGGUCAGCGACUUAUAUUCAGUAGCAAGGUUAACCGUAUAGGGGAGCCGUAGAGAAAUCGAGUCUUAAUAGGGCGUUUAGUUGCUGGGUAUAGACCCGAAACCAGGCGAUCUAUCCAUGAGCAGGUUGAAGGUUGGGUAACACUAACUGGAGGACCGAACCCACUGUCGUUGAAAAGCCAGGGGAUGACUUGUGGAUAGGGGUGAAAGGCUAAUCAAGCCUGGUGAUAGCUGGUUCUCCCCGAAAGCUAUUUAGGUAGCGCCUCGGACGAAUACCAUAGGGGGUAGAGCACUGUUUCGGCUAGGGGGUCAUCCCGACUUACCAAACCGAUGCAAACUCCGAAUACCUAUGAGUACUAUCCGGGAGACAGACUGCGGGUGCUAACGUCCGUAGUCAAGAGGAAAACAAUCCAGACCGCCAGCUAAGGCCCCAAAAUCAUAGUUAAGUGGGAAACGAUGUGGGAAGGCAUAGACAGCUAGGAGGUUGGCUUANNNNNNNNNNNNNNNNNNNNNNNNNGAAGCAGCCACCCUUUAAAGAAAGCGUAAUAGCUCACUAGUCGAGUCGGCCUGCGCGGAAGAUGUAACGGGGCUAAAACUAUGUGCCGAAGCUGCGGAUUUGACAUUAGUCAAGUGGUAGGGGAGCGUUCUGUAAGCCGAUGAAGGUGUAUUGAGAAGUNNNNNNNNNNNNNNNNNNNCCCGUUCGCCGAAAGACCAAGGGUUCCAGUCCAACGUUAAUCGGGGCUGGGUGAGUCGACCCCUAAGGCGAGGCCGAAAGGCGUAGUCGAUGGGAAAAUGGUUAAUAUUCCAUUACUUCUGUGUAAUGCGAUGAGAGGACGGAGAAGGCUAAAUCAGCCUGGCGUUGGUUGUCCAGGUGAAAGGAUGUAGGCAUGUAUCUUAGGCAAAUCCGGGGUACUCUAUGCUGAGAUCUGAUAGCAAGCUGUACUUGUACAGCGAAGUGGUUGAUGCCAUGCUUCCAGGAAAAGUCUCUAAGCUUCAGUUACACAGGAAUCGUACCCGAAACCGACACAGGUGGUCAGGUCGAGUAGACCAAGGCGCUUGAGAGAACUCUGCUGAAGGAACUAGGCAAAAUGGUACCGUAACUUCGGGAGAAGGUACGCUGUUGUUGGUGAUGGAACUCGCUUCCUGAGCUGACGACAGCCGCAGAAACCAGGCCGCUGCAACUGUUUAUUAAAAACAUAGCACUCUGCAAACACGAAAGUGGACGUAUAGGGUGUGAUGCCUGCCCGGUGCUGGAAGGUUAAUUGAUGGGGUUAGCGUAAGCGAAGCUCUUGAUCGAAGCCCCAGUAAACGGCGGCCGUAACUAUAACGGUCCUAAGGUAGCGAAAUUCCUUGUCGGGUAAGUUCCGACCUGCACGAAUGGCAUAAUGAUGGCGGCGCUGUCUCCAGCAGAGGCUCAGUGAAAUCGAAAUCGCUGUGAAGAUGCAGUGUACCCGCGGCUAGACGGAAAGACCCCGUGAACCUUUACUGCAGCUUGACACUGAACUUUGACCUUACUUGUGUAGGAUAGGUGGGAGGCUUUGAAGCUGGAACGCUAGUUCCAGUGGAGCCGUCCUUGAAAUACCACCCUGGUAAUGUUGAGGUUCUAACUCUGUCCCGUGAUCCGGGACGAGGACCGUGUCUGGUGGGUAGUUUGACUGGGGCGGUCUCCUCCUAAAGAGUAACGGAGGAGUACGAAGGUGCGCUCAGCGUGGUCGGAAAUCACGCGUAGAGUAUAAAGGCAAAAGCGCGCUUAACUGCGAGACCCACAAGUCGAGCAGGUACGAAAGUAGGUCUUAGUGAUCCGGUGGUUCUGUAUGGAAGGGCCAUCGCUCAACGGAUAAAAGGUACUCUGGGGAUAACAGGCUGAUACCGCCCAAGAGUUCAUAUCGACGGCGGUGUUUGGCACCUCGAUGUCGGCUCAUCUCAUCCUGGGGCUGAAGCAGGUCCCAAGGGUAUGGCUGUUCGCCAUUUAAAGAGGUACGCGAGCUGGGUUUAGAACGUCGUGAGACAGUUCGGUCCCUAUCUACCGUGGGCGCUGGAAAUUUGAGAGGAUCUGCUCCUAGUACGAGAGGACCAGAGUGGACGAACCUCUGGUGUACCGGUUGUGACGCCAGUCGCAUCGCCGGGUAGCUAUGUUCGGAAGGGAUAACCGCUGAAAGCAUCUAAGCGGGAAGCCUACCUCAAGAUAAGAUUUCCCUAGGACUUUAUGUCCUCUAAAGAGCCGUUCGAGACUAGGACGUUGAUAGGUUGGAUGUGGAAGCAUAGUGAUAUGUGAAGCUGACCAAUACUAAUUGCUCGUGAGGCUUGACUAUACAACACCCAAGCAGUUG
rnacentral:rRNA from 1 species